rnacentral:rRNA from 1 species
GAUGAACGCUGGCGGCGUGCCUAAUACAUGCAAGUCGAGCGAACGGACGAGAAGCUUGCUUCUCUGAUGUUAGCGGCGGACGGGUGAGUAACACGUGGAUAACCUACCUAUAAGACUGGGAUAACUUCGGGAAACCGUAGCUAAUACCGGAUAAUAUUUUGAACCGCAUGGUUCAAAAGUGAAAGACGGUCUUGCUGUCACUUAUAGAUGGAUCCGCGCUGCAUUAGCUAGUUGGUAAGGUAACGGCUUACCAAGGCAACGAUGCAUAGCCGACCUGAGAGGGUGAUCGGCCACACUGGAACUGGGACACGGACCAGACUCCUACGGGAGGCAGCAGUAGGGAAUCUUCCGCAAUGGGCGAAAGCCUGACGGAGCAACGCCGCGUGAGUGAUGAAGGUCUUCGGAUCGUAAAACUCUGUUAUUAGGGAAGAACAUAUGUGUAAGUAACUGUGCACAUCUUGACGGUACCUAAUCAGAAAGCCACGGCUAACUACGUG